GACGAAGGUGGCGAGCGUUGUUCGGAAUCACUGGGCGUAAAGCGCACGUAGGCGGUGCCGUAAGUCAGAUGUGAAAUCCCUCGGCCUAACCGAGGAACUGCGUCUGAUACUGCGGUGCUUGAGGAUCAGAGGGGUGCAUGGAAUUUCCGGUGGAGCGGUGAAAUGCGUUGAUAUCGGAAGGAACUCCGGCGGCGAAAGCGAUGCACUGGCUGAUUUCUGACGCUGAGGUGCGAAAGCCAGGGGAGCAAACGGG
rnacentral:rRNA from 1 species